rnacentral:rRNA from 1 species
CAGGCGCGAAAACUGCACAAUGUGGGAAACCACGAUGCGGGAAACCCAAGUGCCAGCACAAUGUGUUGGCUGUCCUCGAGUGUUCGUAGCUUGGGAAGAAAGUGCUGGGUAAGACGGGUGCCAGCCGCCGCGGUAAUACCCGCAGCACAAGUGGUGGUCAUUAUUAUUGGGCCUAAAGCGUCCGUAGCUGGCUUGUUAGAUGCCUGGGUAAAUCGAUGCGCUCAACGUAUCGAAUUCCGGGUAGACCGGCAAGCUCGAGACCGGGAGAGGUGUAGGGUACUCGGGGGGUAGGGGUAAAAUCCUGUAAUCCUCCGGGGACGACCAGUGGCGAAGGCGCUACACUAGAACGGCUCUGACAGUGAGGGACGAAGCCCUGGGGCGCAAACCGGAUUAGAUACCCGGGUAGUCCAGGGUGUAAACGCUGCAGACUUGGUGUCGGGGAUCCUACGAGGGUUCCCGGUGCCGCUAGAGAAGUUGUUGAGUCUGCCGC